UACGUAGGGUGCAAGCGUUGUCCGGAAUUAUUGGGCGUAAAGGGCUCGUAGGCGGUCCAUCACGUCGGGAGUGAAAAGCUGGGGCUUAACCCCAGUCCUGCUUCCGAUACGGGUGGACUAGAGUUCGGUAGGGGAGAUCGGAAUUCCUGGUGUAGCGGUGAAAUGCGCAGAUAUCAGGAGGAACACCGGUGGCGAAGGCGGAUCUCUGGGCCGAUACUGACGCUGAGGAGCGAAAGCGUGGGGAGCGAACAGG
rnacentral:rRNA from 1 species